rnacentral:rRNA from 1 species
GAUGAACGCUGGCGGCGUGCCUAAUACAUGCAAGUCGAGCGAACAGACGAGGAGCUUGCUCCUCUGACGUUAGCGGCGGACGGGUGAGUAACACGUGGAUAACCUACCUAUAAGACUGGGAUAACUUCGGGAAACCGGAGCUAAUACCGGAUAAUAUAUUGAACCGCAUGGUUCAAUAGUGAAAGACGGUUUUGCUGUCACUUAUAGAUGGAUCCGCGCCGCAUUAGCUAGUUGGUAAGGUAACGGCUUACCAAGGCGACGAUGCGUAGCCGACCUGAGAGGGUGAUCGGCCACACUGGAGCUGGGCCACGGUCCAGACUCCUACGGGAGGCAGCAGUAGGGAAUCUUCCGCAAUGGGCGAAAGCCUGACGGAGCAACGCCGCGUGAGUGAUGAAGGUCUUCGGAUCGUAAAACUCUGUUAUUAGGGAAGAACAAAUGUGUAAGUAACUAUGCACGUCUUGACGGUACCUAAUCAGAAAGCCACGGCUAACUACGUG